AUUGAACGCUGGCGGAAUGCUUUACACAUGCAAGUCGAACGGCAGCACGGACUUCGGUCUGGUGGCGAGUAGCGAACGGGUGAGUAAUGUAUCGGAACGUGCCCAGUCGUGGGGGAUAACGUAGUGAAAAUUACGCUAAUACCGCAUACGAUCUAUGGAUGAAAGCGGGGGAUCGCAAGACCUCGCGCGAUUGGAGCGGCCGAUAUCAGAUUAGGUAGUUGGUGGGGGAAAGGCCCACCAAGCCAACGAUCUGUAGCUGGUCUGAGAGGACGACCAGCCACACUGGAACUGAGCCACGGUCCAGACUCCUACGGGAGGCAGCAGUGGGGAAUUUUGGACAAUGGGCGAAAGCCUGAUCCAGCCAUUCCGCGUGCAGGAUGAAGGCCCUCGGGUUGUAAACUGCUUUUGUACAGAACGAAAAGGUUUCUACUAAUACUAGGAGCUCAUGACGGUACUGUAAGAAUAAGCACCGGCUAACUACGUGCCAGCCGCCGCCGUAA
rnacentral:rRNA from 1 species